CCUACGGGAGGCUGCAGUGAGGAAUAUUGGUCAAUGGACGAGAGUCUGAACCAGCCAAGUAGCGUGAAGGAUGACUGCUCUAUGGGUUGUAAACUUCUUUUAUAAAGGAAUAAAACGCGGCACGUGUGCCUUUUUGCAUGUACUUUAUGAAUAAGGAUCGGCUAACUCCGUGCCAGCAGCCGCGGUAAUACGGAGGAUCCGAGCGUUAUCCGGAUUUAUUGGGUUUAAAGGGAGCGUAGAUGGGUUGUUAAGUCAGUUGUGAAAGUUUGCGGCUCAACCGUAAAAUUGCAAUUGAUACGGGCAGUCGUGAGUACAGUUGAGGUAGGCGGAAUUCGUGGUGUAGCGGUGAAAUGCUUAGAUAUCACGAAGAACCCCGAUUGCGAAGGCAGCUUACUAAACUGUGACUGACAUUGAUGCUCGAAAGUGUGGGUAUCAAACAGGAUUAGAUACCCGAGUAGUC
rnacentral:rRNA from 1 species